CAAAUCGAGUGUUGGUCCGGGC
rnacentral:miRNA from 1 species